GGGGGAUUAGCUCAGUUGGCUAGAGCGCUAGAUUUGCAUUCUAGAGGUCAAGGGUUCGACUCCUCCACAUAAAUUAAGAGGACCCCAUCCUCCA
rnacentral:tRNA from 1 species